UAGGGAAUAUUGGGCAAUGGCCGAGAGGCUGACCCAGCCAUGCCGCGUGCAGGAUGAAGGCUUUCUGAGUCGUAAACUGCUUUUGCCAGGGAAGAAUAAGGUUCGUGCGCGGACCGACGACGGUACCUGGUGAAUAAGCCCCGGCUAACUCCGUUCCAGCAGCCGCGGUAAGACGGAGGGUGCAAGCGUUGUCCGGAUUUAUUGGGUUUAAAGGGUGCGUAGGCGGCUGAUUAAGUCCGGGGUGAAAGCCCACUGCUCAACAGCGGAACUGCCCUGGAAACUGGUCGGCUUGAGUACAGACGAGGGUGGCGGAAUGGAUGGUGUAGCGGUGAAAUGCAUAGAUACCAUCCAGAACCCCGAUUGCGAAGGCAGCUGCCUAGACUGUAACUGACGCUGAGGCACGAAAGCGUGGGGAGCGAAC
rnacentral:rRNA from 1 species